GAGGAAAGUCCGAGCUACACAGGGCAGAGUGCCGGAUAACGUCCGGGCGGCGUGAGCCGACGACCAGUGCAACAGAGAGCAGACCGCCGUGUAAACGGUAAGGGUGAAAGGGUGUGGUAAGAGCGCACCGUGCCUCCGGUAACGGUUGGCAGCAGGGUAAACUCCACUCGUAGCAAGACCAAAUAGGAAUCCAAUGAGUGGCCCGCUCAGGAUUCGGGUAGGUUGCUUGAGCGGCAGAGUAAUUUGUCGCCUAGAGGAAUGAUUGUCCACGACAGAACUCGGCUUA
rnacentral:RNase_P_RNA from 1 species